AUGGAUGAGGUCCAUGACAUUUUACAGGAGACAGGGAUCAAGACCACCCCCAUGGUCUUGAAAUGCAAAAAAGCAAACUGGCUGUCUGAAGAGGCCUUACAAAUACCUGUGAAAAGAAGAGAAGUAAACAGCAAAGGAGAAAAGGAAAGAUAUAAGCAUCUGAAUGCACAGUUCCAAAGAAUAGCAGGGAGAGAUAAAAAAGCCUUUCUCAGUGAUCAAUGCAAAGAAAUAGAGGAAAAGAACAGAAUGGGAAAGACUAGAGAUCUCUUCAACAAAAUUAGAGAUACCAAGGGAACAUUUCAUGCAAAGAUGGGCUCGAUAAAGGACAGAAAUGGUAUGGACCUAACAGAAGCAGAAGUUAUUAAGAAGAGGUGGCAAGAAUACACAGAAGAACUGUACAAAAAAGAUCUUCAUGACCCAGAUAAUCACGAUGGUGUGAUCACUCACCUAGAGCCAGACAUCCUGGAAUGUGAAGUCAAGUGGGCCUUAGAAAGCAUCACUACAAACAAAGCUAGUGGAGGUGAUGGAAUUCCAGUAGAGCUAUUUCAAAUCCUGAAAGAUGAUGCUGUGAAAGUGCUGCACUCAAUAUGCCAGCAAAUUUGGAAAACUCAGCAGUGGCCACAAGACUGGAAAAGGUCCAUUUUCAUUCCUAUCCCAAAGAAAGGCAAUGCCAAAGAAUGCUCAAACUACUGCACAAUUGCACUCAUCUCUCAUGCUAGCAAAGUAAUGCUCAAAAUUCUCCAAGUCAGGCUUCAGCAAUAUGUGAACUGUGAACUUCCAGAUGUUCAAGCUGGUUUUAGAAAAGGCAAAGGAAUCAGAUAUCAAAUUGCCAACAUCCACUGGAUCGUGGAAAAAGGAAGGGAGUUCCAGAAAAACAUCUAUUUCUGCUUUAUUUACUAUGCCAAAGCCUUUGACUGUGUGGAUCACAAUAAACUGUGGAAAAUUCUGAAAGAGAUAGGAAUACCAGACCACCUGACCUGCCUCUUGAGAAACCUAUAUGCAGGUCAGGAAACAACAGUUAGAACUGGACAUGGAACAACAGACUGGUUCCAAAUAGGAAAAGGAGUACGUGAGGGCUGCAUAUUGUCACCCUGCUUAUUUAACUUCUAUGCAGAGUACAUCAUGAGAAACGCUGGGCUGGAAGAAGCACAAGCUGGAAUCAAGAUUGCCAGGAGAAAUAUCAACCACCUCAGAUAUGCAGAUGACACCACCACUCUUAUGGCAGAAAGUGAAGAACUAAAGAGCCUCUUGAUGAAAGUGAAAGAGGAGAGUGAAAAAGUUGGCUUAAAGCUCAACAUUCAGAAAAUUAAGAUCAUGGCAUCUGGUCCCAUCACUUCAUGGGAAAUAGACGGGGAAACAGUGGAAACAGUGUCAGACUUUAUUUUGGGGGGCUCCAAAAUCACUGCAGAUGGUGACUGCAGCCAUGAAAUUAGAAGACGCUUACUCCUUGGAAGGAAAGUUAUGACCAACCUAGAUAGCAUAUUCAAAAGCAGAGACAUUACUUUGCCGACAAAGGUCUGUCUAGUCAAGGCUAUGGCUUUUCCAGUAGUCAUGUAUGGAUGUGAGAGUUGGUCUGUGAAGAAAGCUGAGCACUGA
rnacentral:lncRNA from 1 species